rnacentral:lncRNA from 1 species
ACUUUCUUCAACCCAGCCAGUGAGCCACAGCACCACAAGGUAGUUGGAGAGCCCAUAAUCCCAGUAGAUAAACUUUGAUGCCAUUAAAAAAGAAAAGAAUCCAACCAUUUAGAAAGUUGGCCCUCCCAUCCAGGC